rnacentral:lncRNA from 14 species
CAAGAACAAACAGUGCUCAGUCCCAGGAAAACAGCUGAAACAUUGCAUCAGAGGACACUGAAACAUUUCCUUCUGUGCAACCCUAAGAAAUGAAACCCUUCCUCUGCUCACUGUAAUUUGAAGAUUUUUCAGGGUUUCUUUUUUGUAGUCUAUGACAAUGAACUCCAUUUCUGUGGUUAUGCAGCUUUUAAUUGUGAAUAACUUCUGAUUAUCUACACAGAAGAAACAUUUACUUAGCCUUGGUCCCCUAACCAGAAAAGAAGUUUGAGGCACCAAAGCUCUUACUCUACAAGGAACAACAAAGAAUGAUGGUGACUUGGCCAAAUAAAGAAGAGUAAUCAUGACAUCAUAAGGAAUUUGACCAAAAGGAUAGCAUGCAUUUGGAGGAGCACUGGUUUUAAUUUCUGAGCUGAUGAGGACAUGUUGCAAUAGGAAAACUGGAAGACGUGCAAAGAAAGAAUCUAAAAUGAUUGUUUUAACUGAUUUCAAAGCAUUAUCCAUCUGCUUCAAUGCAUGAGGAAGAUUCUGGAUGGAGGAAAGGGGAACUUGAGGUUGAGACCUGAGUCAAAGGGUUUGGCAUCGAAGUAAUGCUAUUUUAACCAGGGAAAUGAGUCCUGGAAGAAGUCAUUCCAUAUGGCACAAACCAGCACACUCCUCUUCUCUGUAAGCAAACACUCCAAGUGCAACUGGUUAGCAAAUAAAUAGCAGUAAGAGAACCA